CGUUAUUAUCAUUAUUACGAAAUAGAAAUAGAUAUCCGAGAAUCAAUCCUUCAUUCUUAACUAGGGUUUGUAAAUUCUCUUUCAAGUUUCAAAGAAAAAAAAACAGAGACAGAGACCGAGAAAUCAUUGAUCAAAGAUGUUUCCAGGAAUGUUUAUGAGAAAACCAGACAAAAAAGAAGCAUUAAAGCAGCUUCGUGUCCAUGUUGCUUUGUUUGGUGGGUGGGUCGCUGCUAUUCGGGUCGCCCCAUAUCUUCUUCAUUACUUUUCUGAAUCCAAAGAUGAGCUUGUUCUAGAUUUCUAGACCCCCUUUUUUAUUUUAAUAAGCUAUGUGGUGCUAAUGCAAUAUGGAAGAAGCACGAUGGGGACAAAUCUUAUAGAGGCUAGUUUAUUUUCUUGAGAUAAUGAUCUGUUCUAGUCCAGUAAACUAGUAGAGCAAGUGCAUCCUGGUCCAGAACUACAUGUGGAGCAUAUUCUUUUGUCUUGUGAUAGUUUUGACAAUUGAUGGGGAGGAGAAGUGACAUUUGAUGUAGUGUGGCAAUCGUAAAAUGUAUUGUCAAUAUGUAGAUGUUUGACUGUCACUUUUGCCAUGAUAACUCAUUCAUAAAUAGUGCCACGCUAAAUGCUUAGCUGUCGUUUCUUCGUGUAACUAUCUAGACAUUUUUAAUGCAGUUAUCCAAUUAUUCCUGCCA